AGCGGCGGACGGGUGAGUAACGCUGGGUAACCUGCCUCAUACAGGGGGAUAACAGUUGGAAACGGCUGCUAAUACCGCAUAAGCGCACAGUACCGCAUGGUACGGUGUGAAAAACUCCGGUGGUAUGAGAUGGACCCGCGUCUGAUUAGGUAGUUGGUGGGGUAACGGCCUACCAAGCCGACGAUCAGUAGCCGACCUGAGAGGGUGACCGGCCACAUUGGGACUGAGACACGGCCCAA
rnacentral:rRNA from 1 species